UCCCAGCCACCCCUCUCCCUUCUCCCAAAGUCUUUGCUCACUGGGGAGGGUGUCUGGACUUCCUCAUCCUCACCCCUGUGGCCCUUGCCCCAGAGGCCACUGAGGGUCCCAGGUCCCUGGGAUAGCCCAUGAGGUAGACUGCAUCAACCUCAUUUUAUAGAUAAUGAAACUGAUGUUCAGGGAGACCAGGUCACUUGUUCGAGGUCCCCUGGUGGGAUGGGGACCCGUGCUGGCUGCGUCAACCACACCGCCAGUGACAGCACGGCAGGUGCUCCGGCGGCGCUUGUGAACUUGUCAAUGAUGACGCCGAUGAAGAGGUUGAGGGUGAAGAAGGAUCCGAAGAUGAUGAAGAUGACGAAGUAGAGCCACACCUCAGCGACCCCGACUCACCUCCCGCGAGUCCACGGCUGCAUACAUGAUGUCCAUCCAACCCUUGAACGUGGCCUGAGAGAGUGUGGUUGGGCUGUGAGGGGAGGGGCUGCUCCCUGCUUCCAUCAUCCAUGAGUUUCCUUCCCCUGCCCAGCCUGGUCCUCCCUGGAGGUCUCCCCUAGAGAUCAGAGAGGUCUAGACACUGCCUCAGGGUCCCACAGCAUUGGAGCAGGGUGGCUGUUCCCCUGACAAGGAGUGACAGGGGGCUCAGGUACCAUGAGGAGGGACUGUGGGCACCUCCGUCCCGGUUCCCAGCAGGGGCAGCGGGUCACACUCACCACCUGCAGGAGGGAGAGGUAGCCCAGACCCACGUUGUCAUAGUUGACCUUGACGUUGAGCCAGCGGACCUGGCCCGUGUGCAUGAGGCUCUCGCACUCGGACUUGUUGUUGACCUCGGAGAUGUCAAACCGCUCGGAGGUGGUGGUGUUCAUGCAGUAGUAGAACUUGCCGGCAAACAAGUUCACACCCAUGAUGCUGAAGAUGAGCCAGAAGAUGAGGCAGACGAGCAGCACGUUCAUGAUGGAGGGGAUGGCGCCCAGGAGGGCGUUCACCACCACCUGGGGGCGGGGGGGUCAUUGCCAGAGCCUCUCCCCACCUCGGAGGGAGGGCUCCCCACCUGCACCCUGCCCGGGGGGCCAGGCAGAGUCGGCACUGUCAUGCAGGGAGGGCUUCCUGGAGGAGGGCCAAUCUGAGCCAGGCCCAGAGGGCAGAAGCCCUGUGCCCGGCUGCGCGUGGAGGGAGGGGAGCUGCGGGCCUGGCGGUCUGGAGGGCUCUCUGCUUGGCUGGAGCCAUCAGCCCAGAGUGGGCGCGCUGGGCUUCUCUGGAAGCAGCCUGGUCACGGGUCACCAGGCAGGAGACAAACACUCUCUCCUCGGCCCCCAUAGGAAAUUCAUCCCAUGUGACCCGUGCCCGCUCAUGAGCUCACAGCACCAGAGAUACAGGGACAGACAAGGCACACAAAAGAGGCCACCGGGGUCUUCAAAGCAGCAGGACCCCGGCACCAGAGCCCUGUGCCCCCAGCCCCGGGCACACAGGCCCACCUCACUACUGCAGUCUGGGUUGAACCUGAGCCAGUUCACGACCUCCAGACAGUGGGUGGCACAGCCUGGUGGUACCCAGGGGAGCUCUAUUCCUGGUUGGGGCACCUGCCAGCUGUGUGGCCAUGGGCAGGGGAGGGGUCCCUGACUCUGGGGGUCCGAGGGCCCAGCACCUGACUGGCCCUGGUAUCAACAGGAGGGGGCUGCGGGGCAGAGCUCGCUGCCAACCUGCCCAUUCCCAGGGGUUUGUCCCUCGGGAGUGGGUCUUGUUCCAGCAAACCUCCCUUCCGGGGAAGUCCCACUUGUCUUGCCCAGGCCCUGUGUUUACCUGUCACUUCCACUCUCAAGGGCCUGAAGGGACCCUCUCCAAACUGACAAGUGCAUGACCCUGACCAUGACCCCAAGCUGAGGUGGGUGGCAGGUGGGCUCAGAGCCAGGGUGCAAACAUCUACCCACUUGCUUAUUUAUUUUCAGAGCCCUGGCGGGCCUCCCAGCCUGAGGUUGGGGAGGGACACCCAUAAAGCCACCCCUAAACCACCCCUAAACACCACACAUACCAGCGUGGGGCUCUUCGCCCUCCUAGGAGCUGCCGCAGCCUCUGCUGCCCCCCUGCGGUGCAGAGAUGAGCUGAGGGCAGGAGUGUGGCAGGCAGGGGGUGGGAGGUGGUGGCUGGAGUGCAGACAUGCACCCGCCACCCUGCCCUGUGGCUGCUGCCCCAGCCCGAGCCCGCCCCAGAC